CGGGAAGCCACGCGUAAAACACCCUCCGGGGCGCGUGCAGGCGCGUGUAGGCACGUGGACCUAUUAAGGAAAUUCCAGAAUUUUUGGAACCUUUUCCGGCAAAUAAUUCGAGCUUGGGAAGGCACGCGUCAACCAAGUACCAGUCGAUAUGGGGAGGUGUUCGAGAGCUGUGCGGUCACAGAGGGGUGUCGUUCCGGAGCGUCAGUCCCUUGUCGGUCUUUUAGAAUCCUUUGUCUGUUUUCAUAUUAGAGUCUUUUGUAUUUUUC